rnacentral:rRNA from 1 species
UACGUAGGGUGCGAGCGUUAAUCGGAAUUACUGGGCGUAAAGGGCGUGCAGGCGGCGUAUCAAGUCAGACGUGAAAGCCCCGGGCUUAACCUGGGAACUGCGUUUGGGACUGGUACGCUAGAGAUCGGGAGAGGAGAGUGGAAUUCCCAGUGUGGAGGUGAAAUUCGUAGAUAUUGGGAAGAACACCGGUGGCGAAGGCGGCUCUCUGGACCGAUACUGACGCUGAGGCGCGAAAGCGUGGGGAGCAAACAGGG